rnacentral:tRNA from 1 species
GCCCCCGUAGCUCAGUGGAUUAGAGCAUCUGACUUCGGAUCAGAGGGUCGUGGGUUCGAAUCCUACCGGGGGUA